AAGUUAGUAAGGAUAAUGGUUCAGUUACUAGUAAGGUUGAAAACUAUUUCAUAAAUGUAUAAUUUCUUGAACAAAUCUUUGUUAUUCAGCAGUGUUAGAAAGAGGACCUACACACAACACAGACUGUCCUUCCCCACUGGAAUCAGAUUGCAUUAUCAUUGGUAUUGCCUGAAGCACGCACGGUUCACAAAUACCGUGACCAUCCUCAUUGAGUAUCGAUAUCCAUACGGAUCGCAUUCUGCCCUCAGGAAGGAAGAAUCCCACGGGAAGGAAGGAUGUUAUGGGUGAAACAAAGGAAA